rnacentral:lncRNA from 1 species
UGGUGGAAUAUGAGCUGGUGGUGACUGAGAGAAAGGUGAUGUAGUCACGGUGUUAAGACUCUGAAGAAGCUGUUGGUACAUUGACCGUAACUAUGAUGACAAGACCAUUCCUUAGAUCGAUGGCUGCUGAGUGGAAUGCGGUGGAUCUAGAUCGAUGGCUAUUGGUAUUUUUUUUUCUUAGACAAUCCUAGUGCCAUGAGAAUACUUGCAAUAUAUAGUCAAAUGAAAUCAAUGUCAAGAUUUUAAACUAAAUCAACUAAGGUCAACUUUAAGAUAUUCAUAUUGGUAGUUUAUCAUUAAGUUA